AUUGAACGCUGGCGGCAGGCCUAACACAUGCAAGUCGAACGAGUGGCGGACGGGUGAGUAAUGUCUGGGAAACUGCCUGAUGGCGGGGGAUAACUACUGGAAACGGUAGCUAAUACCGCAUACCAUCAGAUGUGCCCAGAUGGGAUUAGCUUGUUGGUGGGGUAACGGCUCACCAAGGCGACGAUCCCUAGCUGGUCUGAGAGGAUGACCAGCCACACGGGGACUGAGACACGGUCCAGACUCCUACGGGAGGCAGCAGUGGGGAAUGUUGGACAAUGGGCGAAAGCCUGAUGCAGCCAUGCCGCGUGUAUGAAGAAGGCCUUCGGGUUGUAAAGUACUGUGAGCGGGGAGGCGGUACCCGCAGAAGAAGCACCGGCUAACUCCGUGCCAGCAGCCGCGGUAAUAC
rnacentral:rRNA from 1 species